GAGGAUCGAACCCAGGGCCCCACACUUGCUAGGCUAGUGCUCUACCACUGAGCCACAACCCCAGUUCUACCAGAUAUUUAAUUAUUCCCGUUUACUUGCAUAUUUGAUAUAGAAGAGAUCAUAGUAAGACAUUUAAGAAGCAAAUUAUACGCUAGUGACAAACCUGUUAACCAGACCUCUUUAGGCCAACUGACUCUAGAUGAAGCAACCAUAACUGACCUAAAAACACCAAUGAAAUAAUGCACAAAUAAUUUGCCAAGAAUUUUAGCACAUGUUACCUCAUUCAAGUCUCGGAAAGACUGAUACAAAAAAACUGAAGUUGGAGUGAAAUUUCUAGUUCUUACUUUAGCUGACUUUUUUUUUUUUGGAUUAAUGAAAUUUCAUUUCAUUUCAUUGACAUUUUGAGGCUUCUCCUCUACUUUACCAUACCUACCAAAUGUGAAAUCUUUGAAAGAAAACACAGUUGCUGUAAUUAGGAUAAACCUCUUCACAGAGUCUGAAGAAUAAAAUAGAACGGCAAAGCAACAAGGAGGCCUGUAAACAAUAAAUAGUUCAUAUAGGAAUCCAGAGGCGGGAUGGGUGCAAUUUGGAAUGGGGCUUCAGUGCUCUGGAAAAGGCCUGGAAAAAGCUGCCCCCUGCCCCAUUCCUCAAGCCCCAUUCCUGAAACCCAGCCUCUCUGCACAGGCUACCUCUGAACUGGCUCUGGAAGCCCUGAGGCCACAGGCGGAGCAUGUUCUGCCUCAAGAUUAGCCCACAGAUUGUGUAAAAUGAAAUAAGCCAGGCAUAGAGAGACAAAUAGCAUGUGUUCUCUCUCAUAUAACAGUGGAAAAAAGUUGAUCUUAAAGCAGAAGAGGCUAGGAAGGGAACAGGAGGGGGAAUAGAGUGAAUUGUGAGAACAGGGAUAGAAACAGUUAGGAAGAGUAAAUUCUGGUGAUGUGCAGCACAGUCAGG
rnacentral:lncRNA from 1 species